UUAUGUUAUAAGUGUUCGAAGCCUAUAUUGUUAUGUUAUAAGUGUUCGAAGCCUAUAUUGUUAUGUUAUAAGUGUUCGAAGCCUAUAUUGUUAUGUUAUAAGUGUUCGAAGCCUAUAUUGUUAUGUUAUAAGUGUUCGAAGCCUAUAUUCGAAAUCGAUCAGAAGUUUUCUUGGCUCACGUUGUGAAUAAUUUGAUUAGUGGACUCUGUGGACUUUUUUUGCGAUGGAAAUUAUCGAAAGCAACAAGGGAGGUCUCAAACUGUGUUACAGUGGAUACAUGUAUACCAAGCAGUGGUCAAGAGGUGAAACGGUGCGGUGGAGGUGUGUCAAGCGAACACUUUCAUGUAAAGGGGCAUUAACAACAUCUCUUCAAAAUGAAAACCCAACACUUUUAACAGAACACAAUCAUGAUGGUGACGAAAGUGCUAUUGAAGCAGCCAAGUGUAAGUCUAGAAUGAAAACAUUAGCAAAAACUACCAGAGAUAAACCUGGUCAAAUAUACGCCCAAAAUGCCUUAACCAUGAGAACCCAAGCGCAGGCUCAUUUCGUAUCACAAGAACAUUGUAAACGACUGAUUCGGCAUCACCAAAGCGCCAAUCAGCCUCGCGACCCUGCUUCAUUACAGGAACUUGUUAUCUCGGGAGAAUGGGCAUCAACAGGUGGACCAGAACCACAACCGUUCCUGAUUUAUGACAAUGGUCAAGACAGUAACAAUCGCAUUAUUGUUUUUGCAAGUGAACAGACCCUACGACAUUUAGCAAAAUCAGACAUCUGGAUGAUGGAUGGAAAUUUUGCCAUGGCCCCCUCUUAAGUUUACACAAUUGUAUGUAAUUCGUGUUCCUCUCGGAAACACUGCUGUCUCCGUUGUUUAUGCAUUCCUUCAACACAAGACUCAAAACACCUAUGAACAACUUUUUACGGCAGUUCUUGAGAAAUGUGCAGAGUACCACCUGUAUCCAGACCCUAGAACCGUUAUGCUUGACUUUGAACAAGCAACUCUACAGGCCAUCACGGCAAUACUGGGAUCGGAAGUUACUAUUCGCUGCUGCUUCUACCAUCUGACACAGUCAUCAUGGACAAAAAUACAAGAGUUAGGGCUGGCAACUGUGUACAAGGAAAAUGAGGAUAUAAAGUUGUUCUGUGCUAUGGUCGACAGUUUAGCUUUCCUUCCCCUAGAGGAUGUGUCUGCCGGCAUGAAUUACCUCAAACACAACACACCAGAGGGCAUGGAGCCUUUCGUCACUUACUUCGAUCAGACCUACGUAACGGGAACUUAUCGACGAGUCCAAAGACAGCAAGAUGACAAUGAGAUCCCAAGAGUUCAGCUCCGCCUCAUUCCUCCACAGGUUUCCUCCAGAAAUCUGGAAUGUGCAUGAAGCAACUAUUCGAGACGAGUCUCGCACGAACAACUUAUGUGAGGGAUGGAACAAUCGAUACAGCAGGUUGGUUGGUCACAGUCACCCAACAAUAUGGCGGGCAAUCCAGUGGAUCCAAGCUGACCAUGCUGUUGUAGCUACCCAGUUGGUGCUAGAAUCUCGUGGCGAGCCUCCCAAGAAACGGCAGAAGAGGGUGUACAAGAAUCUACAAACACGAAUGAAGAACCUCUGCCAAGAUCGCCGUGAUGGUCGCAAAUCAGUUGAGGAGUUUUUACAUGGAGCGGGUCACAACAUUCGAUGGAAGUCCUAAGCAUUAUAAGAAAAGUCAGUAAAAUGUAUAGAAAUAAAGUGUGAACAAAUUUUAGCUGAUUGUACUGUCUGAUUGUAUCGUUUUUAGCUUGAGUUUUUUUUAGCACAUUUUGUACUGUGCCAUUUUUUCCUAGACUAAACAAUGUGCCAUUUU